UUUUUUUGCCUUACAAGGGGCCAAAACCAGUGGCCUUAGCCUGUAGCUAAUGGUUUCUGGCUUUCUACUACUUGUUUUCAGCCAUCACCAUCCCCUCUAUAAAUAAAGGCCCCUUAGAAUCCAUUAGCUUCAUCAAGAUCAUCUGUAAUCUGCAGUCAUCUACUUGCAAAAGAAAACGGAAACUUAAAGGGUUAAAGGAAAAAAAUGAGUACAGCAAGAACGGCUUGGAUUGUGGGAGCUAGCAUUGGAGCUGUAGAGGCAUUGAAGGACCAGGGCUUUUGCAGAUGGACCUACACCAUGAGAUCAUUACACAAACAUGCAAAGAAUAAUAUGAGCUCAAUCUCUCAGACCAAGAAGCUUUCGUCUUCAUCGUUUGCUAUGGUUUCGGGUGAAUUGAGGGAAUCAAGCCAAUCCGAGGAGUCUCUGAGGAAAGUCAUGUACUUGAGUUGUUGGGGUUCAAAUUAAAUGAGUUGAGAAGUUUGCCAUGAGAAUCUGACGCCUCAUGCAGGCUGAAGCUGGUCCAUUGAGAAGAACAUAGCCAAAGCCAUGAUUACGGUUUGUGAGAGAAAAUUUGCGGGGCUUGAUUAGUGAUUGAUGCAAGCCUGAUGUGAACUGUAGCUAGUCUGACUGCCCUCUCAUCAGUGGCGGAGAGAGGGGGGCGCGGCCCCUGCAAGGAAUUUUUUUUCCAGCCCCUCCCUUCAUAAUAUUAAUAAAUUUAGUCUAAAUAAUCAAACAACUAAUAUUUUUGCCCCCUUUAAUUCUUUUUUCUGGUUCCGCCCCUGCCUCUCAUGAUCAGCUUGUAAUUACACCAUUGCUAUAUGGAACAAAAAUGUUGUCACCAUCUUCCUAUCUUUUGCUAUCCCUUUGAAUUGAUGUCCCAUGCAAUCUCAAAAUUCUUGCUUGUUCUUAAGAUCAUUGCGCUGUGAGAUGUUGUUGUCACCAAAUUUUCAUGGUUUCUGUGACAUGGGCUAAAUGACAUUCAAACAUCCUGCUUAAUUUUGAGCAUGGAUUAAGCCUUUCCUUGAUAGAUCAUGGUUUGAUGCUUAACGUCAAGCAACAAGAUUGGAUGCAUGUGCAUUUUCAAUUAAGAAUUCAAACUGGAAUUUCAACAAUUUUUCUGCAGAUCUGUCUCCCAAAUUCCAACCUGACUAUCAGUGUGACCGCUUCUCACUUCAAGCAAAGCGAUUAACCAUUUCUGCGCAUGGAUAAUAGGGCUUCGAUAGGAUUUUAGAGGCUUACUUUGAAUGGUGGGCAGAAUUCUUAAGAGCAAUGGAUAUACAAACCACCAACUUUCAUUUAAUUCUCAAUUGGAUUCCCACAUAGAAAACUAGAAAGGCCAAGGAUGCACUCGGAUGUGUAGAUGGGCUUAGAUAUGCUCGGAUGGUACUUCACUAAAAAAAACAUGUGUAGCGGUGUUUUUUAUUUUUUUUAUUUUUUUAAAUGAAUUGUUUUUAUUUUUCUUAAAUUAAGUUUUUAUUUUUUGUAUUUUAUGAUUUUAAAAAUGAAUUUUUUAAAAUAAAAAAAAUUAUUUUAAUAUAUUUUCAAACAAUUUUUUUAAAUAAAAACCACUAACAAAACAUCAGAAUCUACAUAUAUUUUUUAAACAAUCUGAAUUGAAAUAUCAAAUAUAAAAUAAUGUGCUAAUUGAUGCUUUCGUAUUUUCUUUUCCCAAAUCUUUUAUAAACCUACCUGUGUAAGUUGAUGGCGAGUAGGAUUUUUAUAAAUCUUCAUGUCCGGAUGGAAGUAAUUUGCUCAAUUUUGUAAGUUCCUGAAAAGGGAUAGAUCCAAGCUUUAUGUGAAUACAUGUUUACCGUAAAAUAAAAUAUGAAAAAGAUGAAUUCCAAGAAAUCGCGUGAGAGAGAGAGAGAUAGAGAGGCUAUCAACUUUAUUUUAUAAGAAGAAGAAAAGGAGAAGCAUGCAAUUUGACAUUUGUUUAUCCUCAGUCCCACACUUUUUUUUUAUUGUUAUUAUCAAGGUUUGUAAAAUUUCAACCGAUAAUUUUUAAAGAAUAAAUUUAAAAAUUAAUCAGUUAAACUACGCCCGGUUCAGUCCCGCACUUUCUUACAUUCCUUACAAGUGGCAAAUGCACUUCAAUGAGAAAGUGCCACCGAAUGGUUGCAAGCAUGACUCACCACCCUUCAGCUAUGAUGCUCCUCCUGAUGCCUUGGCUUGGAUUUUUUUAUUUUACAAAGCAAAACCGUGUGCUCAUUUGAAGGCAGGCAGAGAAGCUUUUGGGUUGUUGUCGAGCAAAAGUAUAAUUACCAUUGGCUUUUGCUGGUUUCCGCACCCAAAACCACCAGCAGGAAGCCUUUAGCCUCACGUUUUUUCCUCAACUUUUGGCAUUCUCACCUAUAUAACCAAACCCCAUCCUUCCAUUGGAUUCAUCAAAGCAUAGCUCGUGUUAUCUUACUCUCUACAAAUCCCACUACAAACUUGUUGGUUCUAUAUUACAGUAACAUAAAAAAUGAGUUCAGCGAGUAAAGCUUGGUUGGUUGCCGCUGCUAUCGGAGGUGUUGAGGCGUUGAAAGAUCAAGGGUUCUGUAGGUGGAACUACACCUUGAGAUCCCUACACCACCAUGCCAAGAACCAUGUCAGAUCAGCCUCUCAGGCCAAGAAGCUUUCUUCUUCAUCCUCAGCCAUGAUCUCAAAUAUAGUCAAGGAAGAGAAGGCAAAACAGUCAGAGGAGUCUUUAAGAAAAGUCAUGUACUUGAGUUGUUGGGGUCCAAACUGAAGCUAUGAAUCUAGUAGAUGAAAUCGAGGGACUUAGUUUGUAGGAGUAAAUCCUUGCAAGCUUAUGCAAAUUGUAAAAUUUGAUGCUCAUUUGGAGCUGUAGAGGCAUUGAAGGACCAGGGUUUUUGCAGAUGGACCUACACCAUGAGAUCAUUACACAAACAUGCCAAGAAUAAUACGAGGUCAAUCUCUCAGGCCAGGAAGCUUUCUUCUUCAUCUUUUGCUAUGGUUUCGAAUAAAUUGAGGGGAUCAAGCCAAUACGAGGAGUCUCUGAGGAAAGUCAUGUACUUGAGUUGUUGGGGUCCAAAUUAAAUGAGUUUAGAAGUUUGCCAUGAGAAUCUGAUGCCUUAUGCAGGCUGAAGCUGGUCCAUUGAGAAGAACAUAGCCAAAGCCAUGAUUAUGGUUUGUGAGAGAAAAUUUGCGGGGCUUGAUUAGUGAUUGAUGCAAGCCUAGUGUUAACUGUAGCUAGUCUGACUGCCAUCUCAUGAUCAGCUUGUAAUUACACCAUUGCUAUACGCAACACGAAAAUUUUGUGGAACAAAAUAUGUUGUCACCAUCUUCCUAUCUUUUGCUAUCCCUUUUUAAUUGA
rnacentral:lncRNA from 1 species